ensembl:lncRNA
GGGAAGUUCUGCAGUUCUCUUUUGUUACACCCUGGGGUUUUGCUGACAUGAAGGUUGUCAUUUAAUGAGUGCUUCUCUACGACGGGGCCUCUCUUGAAAUCUGGCUCCAUCUUUGCUGUUGCUGCCUGGGCAGAGGAGAAAGUAAUACAGAGGGCACUCUGAAGCCCGAUUUGGUCGCUACCACCCCCAGCUAACUGAUAACAUCGAAUGGAGCCUUAACUUCCUGACUCAGAACCUUGGAAUGUAGUUCUGAAUCAUCACUUCUCUGUGUUGCUGCCUGAUUAUUGCAAUAGGAGGAAAAAUGGCACGUGCAUAAGAAAAGAACUUACCUGUGAUUCCUGAGGCUUGCAGCCAGCACUUUCAAAAUGUCCCUGAACACCAGAAAGAAGAGGAGGGGAAAAGGCGGAUUGUGAAAAAGCCAGAAUAGAUGCCAUGAAGUUUGUAUGUUCUUUUAUCUGAGGCAAUCCUCUUUGUGUGAGCCCCAUACACUGAUUAUUUUACAAACAAUUCCAAGAAGUUGACUUCUAAAGCCUUAGCAGGAAAGACAGUGUUGCUAUAAGACAGAUCCUGACAGUGUACCAUAUGGCAACCUUUAGGAAUAGCAAAGUUGGAAAAGCUGAAACUUGAUGCUCUUUUCUGUUGAAGAAGGCAGAGAAGUACCUAAAACAUUCUAGACAGUUUUCUACUCCAGAUCAUUACAAUGUAAAAAUGUAAAAGAGAUGAAAAUCUCUCAGCUAUUUGAGAAGUUUCAUCCCCAGAAAGUAGCUAAAUUUAACCAUGGUUAAACAUUGAUUGUCAGUAAAUCUUAAGUCUCUGGAGUGUCCUGGUUAAUGGAACAUCGGUGAGUUAAAAAUAAGAGCUAAUUCCCCUGAUCCCCCUAAACUAAGCUAAAUAAUUCCCAGAACCUUUUUCUCUACUUCCACAGUUUGGGGAAUGUACCUAAUUUUGCAAUAAAACAUGCCAGUCUUCCCAAACACGUGCUAUGUAUUUAAGUUGGUGGGGGAAGAAAGGAGGGUGUAUUUAAAGGUAAGGUGAUGGACAGGGAGGCCUGGCGUGCUGCAAUUCAUGGGGUCGCAAAGAGUCGGACAUGACUGAGCGACUGAACUGAACUGAACUGAAAGCUAACCUUUCAAGAAUUUUUGAACUUUCAACAAUCCUUGACACAUAACUGGUUUCCUAUUGCAAAUGUGAUGGGCAAAUACUGUGAAAAUUUUAGGAAAAAAAAUAUGUAUUGUUGUUUAGUCACUAGGUCCUGUCCAACUUUUUUU